UACGGAGGGGGCUAGCGUUGUUCGGAAUUACUGGGCGUAAAGCGCGCGUAGGCGGACCUGCAAGUCGGGGGUGAAAGCCCGAGGCUCAACCUCGGAACUGCCUUCGAUACUGCGGGUCUCGAGUCCGGGAGAGGUGAGUGGAAUUCCUAGUGUAGAGGUGAAAUUCGUAGAUAUUAGGAAGAACACCAGUGGCGAAGGCGCUCACUGGCCCGGUACUGACGCUGAGGCGCGAAA
rnacentral:rRNA from 1 species